AAUGAACGCUGGCGGCAGGCCUUACACAUGCAAGUCGAACGGCAGCAUAGGAGCUUGCUCCUGAUGGCGAGUGGCGAACGGGUGAGUAAUAUAUCGGAACGUGCCUUAGAGUGGGGGAUAACUAGUCGAAAGAUUAGCUAAUACCGCAUACGAUCUACGGAUGAAAGUGGGGGAUCGCAAGACCUCAUGCUCCUGGAGCGGCCGAUAUCUGAUUAGCUAGUUGGUGGGGUAAAAGCCUACCAAGGCGACGAUCAGUAGCUGGUCUGAGAGGACGACCAGCCACACUGGGACUGAGGCACGGCCCAGACUCCUACGGGGGGCAGCAGUGGGGAAUUUUUGACAAUGGGGGCAACCCUGAUCCAGCAAUGCCGCGUGAGUGAAGAAGGCCUUCGGGUUGUAAAGCUCUUUUGUCAGGGAAGAAACGGUUCUGGAUAAUACCCAGAGCUAAUGACGGUACCUGAAGAAUAAGCACCGGCUAACUACGUGCCAGCCGCCGCGGUAAAAC
rnacentral:rRNA from 1 species